GCGCCUAUAGUUAAAUGGAUAUAACGCGGCCCUCCGGAGGCCGUAUUAGGGGUUCGAGUCCUCUUAGGCGCGCCA
rnacentral:tRNA from 2 species